GCUCGGUGUGGCCAAGGAAAAUGGCAAAGUGCUGAUCACCUCCGGCGAGCUGGCCAAGUUCGGCGCACCCACGUUCGAUGCCUGGAUCGUGCGC
rnacentral:tRNA from 1 species